GUCACUGUGGCACAAUGGGUUAGCGUGUUCAACUGUUAAGCGAAAGGUGGCUGCAUCAACCGCAGUCAGGGACG
rnacentral:tRNA from 1 species